UACGUAGGUGACAAGCGUUGUCCGGAUUUACUGGGCGUAAAGAGCGCGCAGGCGGUCGAUCAAGUCGAGUGUGAAAGCCCCCGGCUCAACUGGGGAGGGGUCAUUCGAUACUGAUCGACUCGAAGGCAGGAGAGGGUAGUGGAAUUCCCGGUGUAGUGGUGAAAUGCGUAGAUAUCGGGAGGAACACCAGUGGCGAAGGCGACUACCUGGCCUGUUCUUGACGCUGAGGCGCGAAAAGCUAGGGGAGCAAACGGGG
rnacentral:rRNA from 1 species